AUAAUAAUUUAUACUUGUACUGUCUACAAAAAAAAUUGUAUAAGCAUAAUGUAAACAAUAGGUAAAUAAUCCAUGUAGACGUAAUCUUAAUUUUAUACGGUGUAACUGUGCUCUUGAUUAUAGCACGGAAGAGAAUCAAAAAAUCGUAAAUAUUACUUACGAGAUUCACAGACAUUGAGUACAUAGUUCAAUAUUCACAUUUUAUUGGCAUAGAGACGCUAAUUGUAAAAUAGUCACAGCAAAAUCGUCGCUGUGGCUGUAAGUUGCAUCAGGGAUGCAAAUUUAACGGUUUUCUCGCUAGAUCUAGCGUUUUUCAAAGCUCAUCUAGCUGGUAAAUUUAAAAAAUGCUGCGGUAAUUCUGACUUUAUGAAAUACUUUUCUAACUUUUUUCUAGCGGUUUUUAAGUAAAGUUAUAUCAGAGAGAAACCUGAGAGUGGCCAUCGCGGUCUUUUUGAUGAGACUGAUAUUUGACUACAGUAUCAGUGCCAAACAUGGAUAUAAAACUACACGUGACCUUACUCACUUAUCAGAACUGUUAAUAAAGAAAUCUUUUUUUGGUGUAUGUCCGUGCUACAUAGGAGCAAACAAGAUGAUUAAGCAUUAAUGAAUUACGGAGUAUUUUCGAACAAGCUGAAUCUUGUCGUAACUCAAGGAAAGAAAAUAACACGCGACUGAUUUAUUCAAACAACCAAAGUACAAUAAAUUAUCCAACAAGCGAUAACGAGAUGAUUAAGAUAAUCAAUUUUUUGUUUAAUUUCUUUUUAUUAUUUUAUUAAAUUACCUAAUUUUAUUAAAUUAAUUAAAGAUUGUUAACGUAAUUUUUUUCACAAAAUUGUCAAUUCUUUUCAAUUAAAAUGACGAAGAAGAAGACUAAUAUGGCCCAUAAUACUGAGUUCUAUUUUUCUUUUUCCUCUUUUAAGUGAUUUGUGGUAACAAACCACGUAGUAAUUCAUGCUUGUCAAAAUCAUCCAUUAAAUAAGCUAAUCGACUAUAUUAUCAAGAGAUACCGUCAGAUGAAGAAAGCGACUUCUCACCCUAUGUGAUUUUCUUGUUCGUCUGAUCUAGUUAGCUGUAUCAUUAAAAUAAGUAACAAGAUUAAGUGUAUAUUGUAAUGUACAUCAAUUACGGAAAAGCUGAAUAUAAUUACAGAGUUUGUUUCACCUUUUAAA